rnacentral:rRNA from 1 species
GACGAACGCUGGCGGCGUGCUUAACACAUGCAAGUCGAACGGAAAGUCCCUGCUUUUGUGGGGUGCUCGAGUGGCGAACGGGUGAGUAACACGUGAGUAACCUGCCCUUGACUUUGGGAUAACUUCAGGACACUGGGGCUAAUACCGGAUAGGAGCUCCUGCUGCAUGGUGGGGGUUGGACAGUUUCGGCGGUUGGGGAUGGACUCGCGGCUUAUUAGCUUGUUGGUGGGGUAGUGGCUUACCAAGGCUUUGACGGGUAGCCGGCCUGAGAGGGUGACCGGCCACCUUGGGACUGAGAUACGGCCCAGACUCCUACGGGAGGCAGCAGGGGGGAAGAUUGCACAAGGGGCGGAAUCCUGAUGCAGCAACGCACGGUGCGGUAUGACGGCCUUCGGGUUGUAAACCGCUUUCGCCUGUGACGAAGAGUGAGUGACGGUAAUGGGUAAAGAAGCACCUGCUAACUACGUG